CCUACGGGAGGCAGCAGUGAGGAAUAUUGGUCAAUGGGCGAGAGCCUGAACCAGCCAAGUCGCGUGAGGGAGUACUGCCCUAUGGGUUGUAAACCUCUUUUGUCGGGGAGCAAAAGCCGGACGUGUCCGGCUGUGAGAGUACCCGAAGAAAAAGCAUCGGCUAACUCCGUGCCAGCAGCCGCGGUAAUACGGGGGAUGCGAGCGUUAUCCGGAUUUAUUGGGUUAAAGGGGUGCGCAGGCGGAUUUUUAAGUCAGCGGUAAAAUCGUGGGGCUCAACCCCAUCCAGCCGUGGAAACUGGGGAUCUAGAGUGUGCGAGAGGUAUGCGGAAUGCGUGGUGUAGCGGUGAAAUGCGUAGAUAUCACGCAGAACCCCGAUUGCGAAGGCAGCAUACCGGUGCACAACUGACGCUCAGGCACGAAAGCGUGGGUAUCGAACAGGAUUAGAUACCCUAGUAGUC
rnacentral:rRNA from 1 species